UUGGAGGGCAAGUCUGGUGCCAGCAGCCGCGGUAAUUCCAGCUCCAAUAGCGUAUAUUAAAGUUGUUGCAGUUAAAAAGCUCGUAGUUGAAUUUCGGGAUUGACGUGAUGGUAUGCCUUAAGAGGUAUGAACUGUUACUGUUGAUUUCUCACCUUCUGGAGAAACUUGAUGUCCUUUAUUGGGUGUCUUGCGGAUCCAGGACCUUUACCUUGAAAAAAUUAGAGUGUUUGUUUAAAGCAGGCAUUUUUGCUCGAAUACAUUAGCAUGGGGUAAUAGAAUAGGACGGUAUGGUUCUAUUUUGUUGGUUUCUAGGAUCACCGUAAUGAUUAAUAGGGAUAGUUGGGGGCAUUAGUAUUCAAUUGUCAGAGGUGAAAUUCUUGGAUUUAUUGAAGACUAACUACUGCGAAAGCAUUUACCAAGGAUGUUUUCAUUAAUCAAGAACGAAAGUUAGGGAAUCGAAGACGAUCAGAUACCGUCGUAGUCUUAACCAUAAACUAUGCCGACUAGGAAUCAGACGAUGUUAAUUUUUUAAUGACUCGUUUGGCACCUUACGGGAAACCAAAGUGUUUGGGUUC
rnacentral:rRNA from 1 species